UGGGGAAUAUUGGACAAUGGGCGAAAGCCUGAUCCAGCCAUGCCGCGUGUGUGAAGAAGGUCUUCGGAUUGUAAAGCACUUUAAGUUGGGAGGAAGGGCAGUAAGCGAAUACCUUGCUGUUUUGACGUUACCGACAGAAUAAGCACCGGCUAACUCUGUGCCAGCAGCCGCGGUAAUACAGAGGGUGCAAGCGUUAAUCGGAAUUACUGGGCGUAAAGCGCGCGUAGGUGGUUCGUUAAGUUGAAUGUGAAAGCCCCGGGCUCAACCUGGGAACUGCAUCCAAAACUGGCGAGCUAGAGUAGGGCAGAGGGUGGUGGAAUUUCCUGUGUAGCUGUGAAAUGCGUAGAUAUAGGAAGGAACACCAGUGGCGAAGGCGACCACCUGGGCUCAUACUGACACUGAGGUGCGAAAGCGUGGGGAGCAAACAGG
rnacentral:rRNA from 1 species